rnacentral:tRNA from 1 species
CUGGGUGUAGCGCAGCUUGGCUAGCGCACCAGCAUGGGGUGUUGGGGGUCGUAGGUUCGAAUCCUAUCACCCAGA